rnacentral:rRNA from 1 species
AACGAACGCUGGCGGCAUGCCUAACACAUGCAAGUCGAACGAGACCUUCGGGUCUAGUGGCGCACGGGUGCGUAACGCGUGGGAACCUGCCCUUAGGUUCGGAAUAACUCCCCGAAAGGGGUGCUAAUACCGGAUAAUGUCUUCGGACCAAAGAUUUAUCGCCUUUGGAUGGGCCCGCGUUGGAUUAGCUAGUUGGUAGGGUAAAAGCCUACCAAGGCGACGAUCCAUAGCUGGUCUGAGAGGAUGUUCAGCCACACUGGGACUGAGACACGGCCCAGACUCCUACGGGAGGCAGCAGUGGGGAAUAUUGGACAAUGGGCGAAAGCCUGAUCCAGCAAUGCCGCGUGAGUGAUGAAGGCCUUAGGGUUGUAAAGCUCUUUUACCCGGGAUGAUAAUGGCAGUACCGGGAGAAUAAGCUCCGGCUAACUCCGUG